rnacentral:rRNA from 1 species
AUCGUAGGAGCCAAGCGUUAUCCGAAUUCACUGGGCGUAAAGCGCGUGCAGGCGGCUGGGUAAGUUGGAUGUGAAAUCUCCUGGCUCAACUGGGAGAGGCCGUUCAAUACUACCUGGCUUGAGGGCGACAGAGGGGGGUGGAAUUCCGGGUGUAGUGGUGAAAUGCGUAGAUAUCCGGAGGAACACCAGAGGCGAAGGCGACCUCCUGGGUCGUACCUGACGCUGAGAUGCGAAAGCUAGGGGAGCAAACGGG